rnacentral:rRNA from 1 species
GACGAACGCUGGCGGCGUGCCUAACACAUGCAAGUCGAACGGGGUCAUGGUUCUCACUUUUUUCACAGACGUGGAAACGGGUGUGGAAGAAGUGAGGAACAUGGCCUAGUGGCGGACGGGUGAGUAACGCGUGAGCAACCUGCCUUUCAGAGGGGGAUAACGUAUGGAAACGUACGCUAAUACCGCAUAAGAUAGUAGUACCGCAUGAUACAGCUAUCAAAGGAGCAAUCCGCUGAAAGAUGGGCUCGCGUCCGAUUAGAUAGUUGGUGGGGUAAAGGCCUACCAAGUCAGCGAUCGGUAGCCGGACUGAGAGGUUGAACGGCCACAUUGGGACUGAGACACGGCCCAGACUCCUACGGGAGGCAGCAGUGGGGGAUAUUGCACAAUGGGCGAAAGCCUGAUGCAGCAACGCCGCGUGAGGGAAGACGGUUUUCGGAUUGUAAACCUCUGUUGUACGGGAAGAAGGACUUGACGGUACCGUACGAGGAAGCCCCGGCAAACUACGUGCC